CUAUUUCCCUUGGUGAGGAGCAGCCCGUCCUCUAGCCAAAACUGGCGUGUCUUCCCUUGACUUGCCAAUUCCAACAAAUUUUUGGCUUGUGGGUCAUGUUCCAGCCCCUCCUUGAUGCGAUCUACUAUAGGGAAAUUUGGGCUUUUGAUGGAGGCGAGUUCGGCCUUUCUGCUCAGUGCGUCGGCCACAACAUUUCCCUUGCCCGGCU
rnacentral:lncRNA from 1 species